ensembl:lncRNA
CGAUGAGACUUCCUCUUUGAAGAUCACAGGUGAGAAGAUUAGAUGCUUUCUCGGAAGCCCAGCAACCUGAUGGGAUUGUGGAGUGAGCCAGACCCAAAUCAGAACUUCAUCCCUGCAUGGUUUAUUUUGCUUGUUUGGCAAACUUGCCCCGCAGGAAAUUUCAAAAGAACAACAUAUCCAGCUCCUGGUUCAUUUACCUUCUCAGCCAUGAACUCUCAAAAUCAAAGCCAGCAAGUUGUCAUCACCUGAAAUUAUCCCUCUCACAAAAUCCAUAAAUCAGACGCCCACUGUCAAGAGACAAUUCUCCAUGGGUGUCUCACAUUUCUGCUCAUCUUGAAGGUAAGGUAUUGAUUAUCCUUUGCUGUAAACAAUCUGUAAAAGGAUGGACAUACAGAAAUUACUUCGAAGAAAUUACUUCGAAGAAAGAGAGCCUCCCUCCAGAACAAGGGCAUGUUUGCUUACAACCUUGGAAGAUAGAUACAGUGCCUUCCUCUAGAGCAAAGGGCAAUCGUGUUUACUAUCCAAUGUAAUAAAUAUAAUAGCUUCCACUAAAGCAAAGGGCAGGUGUGCUUACUGAUCAUAUAAAAUGUUGGGUUCCCUAAACUUAAAUUUCUCUCCUAUAAUUAACCUGUUGAAUGUGUGGGUGUCAUCUGUGUCACUGUGUUGCCUUAUGGAAAUUAGGGCUGAGAGAACUGGAGCAAGUCUGGUAACAUUCUGGCUAAUUCUAUUUCUGUGAGUAAUCAACCAUCUUCUACGUACAUCUAUAAAAGUGUGGCAGGCUAAUUAGUUACCUUGCAUAUAGGGUAAAAUCUCAGCCUCUUUACAGUUCUUAGCAUCCACUCCCUAUAUACUCUUACAUUCUUCCAUCUUGCCUGUUAAUCUUGCCUGCCUGCCAUCUUACCCCUUUCUUGGUCACUUAACUUGCACCAGGUGCAGAAUCCCUCUCUUGUCCUUAUUAAUUUCUAGUCAAUACCCUAAACCAUGUUGCCAGUGUAUCCUUUCAUUAACAUCACCUGGAAAAAUUUGAAUUUUUAUUAUUCCAAUUAUGUUCUUUGUUUUUUUUCAGGCCACUGAGAACCUCUGGGAGAAAAUAUGCAGCAGAUUGGUAUUAAUAUAACUUUUGUGAGCAAUGUCAGCUACUCCCUAACUGUUUUCUAGUCAUAUGUCUCUCUUCACUUUGGGAAGUGGCUUUCAAAUUUAUACCACUCUCUUCAAUUUCGAUAUCACACCUCAACCUUCUUAGUUUUUAGCAAAUUGUCUUGCUUCCUACUGCAUAAAGAAGAGAGUAGCUAUGAAAUGGAAUACAUCGAAAUUUUUCAUCAACAAAUGCGUACAUCUGUGCUCUCUUUACAUGCAAUAUGUAAAGAAUAUAAAAGUCACACAUUUGAUUUAAAAUACUUUGAACUUAAAUUCUAAAAAUAUCUAGUUUUAUUAUUUUAUUAUUGCUAUUUAUGAAAGUUUGGCUCCUGCAGCAAAAUUAAUCUGCUGAGCCAAUAGUGAUUAUUUUCUCUGCUUUCUAGAGUGGGAAAUGAGUCAAUGAGAAAUGAGCUGCUUCUGAUGUAACACUCUUGGGAGAGAUGGAGCUAUUGGAAAACACGACCUGCUCCAAAGUGCAUGAGCUAACAGGGACAAAGGAGAAAGGGAGGAUGAGAACUUUACAAGAGAGCUAUAAUGGGGUGAGACUGCUGUAGUUGGCUCUUUCUUCUUAUUUGAACAAUGCCUUUAGAUCUAACCCAACCCUUGUGACUUUUUCUAAAUAGAAGCUUAGCAAAAAGCCAGCAUGGUGAAACCAACAUUCAAGAUACAUUACUAACAGCAUCUACCUUCAGGCACAACAACCAGGGAAUGAAUGUCUGGGACAUGAAGACAUCCUGUACUGGGAGCAGGGUGAGAAAAUAAAAGGCAUAGGAAGAGGUUCCCUAUCUUUUUCAACCAAAAAAUAUCCUAGUUUCCUCCUUUUAAAAAAUAUGUGCUUCAUGUUAAGAGUGUUGUCUAUUCUAUCAAGACACAUCAGUGGAUUGGGGAAGGUUAAAGAAAGCUAUUUUUAAUCCCACUAGGAGCAAUUCUGCCAACCCUCUCCUAUCUAAGGUUAAUCUUGCCGUGUGCUUUGGACCACAACCUGUUGUGCUAUCAAAGCAAUCUUGCAUGUGGCACUGUCCUUUCUGAUUCUCCAUACUCCCAUGUGAAAAUUUAGUAUCACGAUUUGAAUAUUCUCAAGGCUCUUGCACUCUAUUGGAUCCAGUAGGCUUCUUUCAGUCUUUGUCCUACUUUGUCUCAUUGCACAUUUACAUAAAGUUGACCAAUUUUCUUUCUUAAAUAAUUUUCCCUUGGCUGUUAUAAAAAAUUGCAUUUUCACAGUCUUUCUUCCACCUUUCUGUUCUCCUUGCUUUUUCUCUUUUUCUCUGAUUCCUCCUACUCCAAUAACAAUGAAAUAUUGGAGUUCAUCAAGACUUUCCUCUAGGUUCUCUUCUUUACCUUACUACUGUCUAUAAUUAGGUCAUCUCAUACACUUCAA